ACGAACGCUGGCGGCGUGCCUAAUACAUGCAAGUCGAACGGUCUUUCUAUGGAAGCUUGCUUCCACUGAGAAGAUAGUGGCGAACGGGUGAGUAACACGUGGGUAACCUGCCCAUAAGAGGGGGGAUAACAUCCGGAAACGGGUGCUAAUACCGCAUAGUUUUCUUGAUCGCAUGAUUGAGAAAGGAAAGACGGCCUUUGUGCUGUCGCUUAUGGAUGGACCCGCGGCGUAUUAGUUAGUUGGUGAGGUAACGGCUCACCAAGACGAUGAUACGUAGCCGACCUGAGAGGGUGAUCGGCCACAUUGGGACUGAGACACGGCCCAAACUCCUACGGGAGGCAGCAGUAGGGAAUCUUCCGCAAUGGACGAAAGUCUGACGGAGCAACGCCGCGUGAGUGAAGAAAGGUUUUCGGAUCGUAAAACUCUGUUGUCAGAGAAGAACAAGUUGGAGAGUAACUGCUCCAGCCUUGACGGUAUCUGACCAGAAAGCCACGGCUAACUACGUGCCAGCCGCUGC
rnacentral:rRNA from 1 species